rnacentral:rRNA from 1 species
GAUGAACGCUGGCGGCGUGCCUAAUACAUGCAAGUCGAGCGAACAGACGAGGAGCUUGCUCCUCUGACGUUAGCGGCGGACGGGUGAGUAACACGUGGAUAACCUACCUAUAAGACUGGGAUAACUUCGGGAAACCGGAGCUAAUACCGGAUAAUAUAUUGAACCGCAUGGUUCAAUAGUGAAAGACGGUUUUGCUGUCACUUAUAGAUGGAUCCGCGCCGCAUUAGCUAGUUGGUAAGGUAACGGCUUACCAAGGCAACGAUGCGUAGCCGACCUGAGAGGGUGAUCGGCCACACUGGAACUGAGACACGGUCCAGACUCCUACGGGAGGCAGCAGUAGGGAAUCUUCCGCAAUGGGCGCAAGCUUGACGGAGCAACGCCGCGUGAGUGAUGAAGGUCUUCGGAUCGUAAAACUCUGUUAUUAGGGAAGAACAAAUGUGUAAGUAACUCUGCCCGUCUUGACGGUACCUAAUCAGAAAGCCACGGCUAACUACGUG